UACGUAGGGUGCGAGCGUUAAUCGGAAUUACUGGGCGUAAAGUGUGCGCAGGCGGCCGAGCAAGUCGAGUGUGAAAGCCCCGAGCUUAACUUGGGAACUGCGCUCGAAACUACUUGGCUAGAGUGUGGCAGAGGGAGGUGGAAUUCCACGUGUAGCGGUGAAAUGCGUAGAGGAUGAUGGAGGAACACCGAUGGCGAAGGCAGCCUCC
rnacentral:rRNA from 1 species